ACGGGUUGUUGCUGGCCUUCCGAGGCAUGUGCACGCCCUGCUCAUCCACUCUACACCUGUGCACUUACUGUAGGUUGGCGUGGGUUUCUAGCCUCCGGGUUGGAAGCAUUCUGCCGGCCUAUGUACACUACAAACUCUUAAAGUAUCAGAAUGUAAACGCGUCUAACGCAUCUUAAUACAACUUUCAGCAACGGAUCUCUUGGCUCUCGCAUCGAUGAAGAACGCAGCGAAAUGCGAUAAGUAAUGUGAAUUGCAGAAUUCAGUGAAUCAUCGAAUCUUUGAACGCACCUUGCGCUCCUUGGUAUUCCGAGGAGCAUGCCUGUUUGAGUGUCAUGAAAUUCUCAACCCAUAAAUCCUUGUGAUCUAUGGGCUUGGAUUUGGAGGCUUGCUGGCCCUAGCGGUCGGCUCCUCUUGAAUGCAUUAGCUUGAUUCCGUGCGGAUCGGCUCUCAGUGUGAUAAUUGUCUACGCUGUGACCGUGAAGCGUUUUGGCAAGCUUCUAACCGUCCAUUAGGACAAUUUUAUAACAUCUGACCUCAAAUCAGGUAGGACUACCCGCUGAACUUAAGCAUAUCA
rnacentral:rRNA from 1 species